rnacentral:rRNA from 1 species
GUGGGGAAUAUUGGACAAUGGGCGAAAGCCUGAUCCAGCCAUGCCGCGUGUGUGAAGAAGGUCUUCGGAUUGUAAAGCACUUUAAGUUGGGAGGAAGGGCAGUAAGUUAAUACCUUGCUGUUUUGACGUUACCAACAGAAUAAGCACCGGCUAACUUCGUGCCAGCAGCCGCGGUAAUACGAAGGGUGCAAGCGUUAAUCGGCAUUACUGGGCGUAACGCGCGCGUAGGUGGUUCAGCAAGUUGAAGGUGAAAUCCCCGGGCUCAACCUGGGAACUGCCUCCAAAACUGCAUGACUAGAGUACGGUAGAGGGUAGUGGAAUUUCCUGUGUAGCGGUGACAUGCGUAGAUAUAGGAAGGAACACCAGUGGCGAAGGCGACUACCUGGACUGAUACUGACACUGAGGUGCGAAAGCGUGGGGAGCAAACAGGAUUAGAUACCCGAGUAGUCC